rnacentral:rRNA from 1 species
AUUGAACGCUGGCGGCAUGCCUUACACAUGCAAGUCGAACGGCAGCACGGGAGCAAUCCUGGUGGCGAGUGGCGAACGGGUGAGUAAUACAUCGGAACGUGCCCAAUCGUGGGGGAUAACGUAGCGAAAGCUACGCUAAUACCGCAUACGAUCUACGGAUGAAAGCGGGGGAUCGCAAGACCUCGCGCGAAUGGAGCGGCCGAUGGCAGAUUAGGUAGUUGGUGAGGUAAAGGCCCACCAAGCCUGCGAUCUGUAGCUGGUCUGAGAGGACGACCAGCCACACUGGGACUGAGACACGGCCCAGACUCCUACGGGAGGCAGCAGUGGGGAAUUUUGGACAAUGGGCGCAAGCCUGAUCCAGCAAUGCCGCGUGCAGGAUGAAGGCCUUCGGGUCGUAAACUGCUUUUGUACGGAACGAAACGGUCCUUUCUAAUACAAGGGGCUAAUGACGGUACCGUAGAAUAAGCACCGGCUAACUACGUGCCAGCCGCCGCAGUAA